AACGUAGGACACAAGCGUUAUCCGGAGUUACUGGGCGUAAAGGGCGUGUAGGCGGACCUAUAAGUCUAUUCUGAAAGCUCCUGGCUAAACUGGGAGAGGCGAAUGGAGACUGUAGAUCUAGAGUGAGGAAGAGGAAAGUGGAAUUCCGCGUGUAGUGGUGAAAUGCGUAGAGAUGCGGAGGAACACCCGUGGCGAAGGCGGCCCACUGGGCCGGUACUGACGCUGAGGCGCGAAGGCGUGGGGAGCGAACGGG
rnacentral:rRNA from 1 species